UACGUAGGGCGCAAGCGUUGUCCGGAAUUAUUGGGCGUAAAGAGCUCGUAGGCGGCUUGUCACGUCGGGUGUGAAAGCCCGGGGCUUAACCCCGGGUCUGCAUUCGAUACGGGCAGGCUAGAGUGUGGUAGGGGAGAUCGGAAUUCCUGGUGUAGCGGUGAAAUGCGCAGAUAUCAGGAGGAACACCGGUGGCGAAGGCGGAUCUCUGGGCCAUUACUGACGCUGAGGAACGAAAGCGUGGGGAGCGAACAGG
rnacentral:rRNA from 1 species